GACGAACGCUGGCGGCGUGCUUAACACAUGCAAGUCGAACGGGUCUGCCCUGUUUUUUGCGGGGUGGGUCAGUGGCGAACGGGUGAGUAACACGUGAGUAACCUGCCCCUCACUUCUGGAUAACCGCUCGAAAGGGUGGCUAAUACGGGGUGUUCUGGCUGUGCCGCAUGGUGUGGCUGGGAAAGAUUCACUUUUGUGGUGUUUUGGUGGGGGAUGGGCUCGCGGCCUAUCAGCUUGUUGGUGGGGUGAUGGCCUGCCAAGGCUUUGACGGGUAGCCGGCCUGGGAGGGUGGGCGGUCACACUGGGACUGGGAUACGGCCCAGACUCCUGCGGGAGGCAGCAGUGGGGGGUAUUGCACAAUGGGCGGAAGCCUGAUGCAGCGACGUCGCGUGAGGGAUGGAGGCCUUCGGGUUGUGAACCUCUUUCGCCGGUGAAGAAGGUCCUGCUCUUUGUGGUGGGGUUGACGGUAGCCGGGUUAUGAAGCGCCGGCUAACUACGUG
rnacentral:rRNA from 1 species